GCUUAUUUCCUGUGACUCCUGUUCUUCCUUAGGUGUUGACGUGUGCUUCACAGGCACGGAGGUGGUCAGCAUGAACGUCUGUGUGGGCCUGAGAGAGUGUAGAGUCUGCUGCUGUGGGGUGGAGCAUCCUCUCCGUGCCCAGUAGAUGCACAGGUGAUUGAUGGCAUGGGAACCCCAGAAGACAGUGUCAUCUCUGCACUUCAUCUUUCUGGAGACGUGCUGUCAGGCACUUCUAUGACCUCCGUGUUCCAGGUCAGUGUCAGUGUCGAUGCCUAGAGGAAAACCGCAUUGAGGGCCAGAAGCCGAUUCCCCUGAGGGACCGGGUGAUCACCUGCCUGCCCCUCCUCCAUUGGGCACCUCUGACAGCUUGGCUGCCAGAAGUGGUCGUGUGUGAGUUUCCGAGUCCUGCUUCCAGGGCGUGUCCCUCAUGGGGUGGAUUCCUCCCCAGGGAAUGUGUGUGCAACCUCUGUGUUUGAGGUCGUUUUCACGAACGCCUUUGCACAUAUGCACCACGUGUGGUGGUUCUUCCAGCAGCCGGCCGCUUCCCAUUGGUGCUCCAUGGAAGCCACCGGGCCCAGCUGUUCUCAGGUCCAUGGUCGGCUGCUACCUCUGCCUGAGCCUCGGGCUCUGGGCUGAAGCAGCGUGCGAAGUGGAAAGUCUCGUGGACUUGUUUCUCUGAUCCAGCAUAGAGACCUUUUAAGGUCCUACAAAGGAACUGUAAAGCUGUGUAUUCCUGCGUGGAUUCCUGCGGACCUCCUUCUAAGGGUACAGUUUUAAACCUAGCAGUGGGGUCCCAAAUCCCCUUGGGCUAGAUGGCAAAAGUGACAAAGUGAUCCUGUCAGUAGGAUUAAGUAUUUACUGCUAUUAAUGAAUAGGAUUAAAGAGGAGUAAAUGCUCCAACGUGGGAAGGAGUCUGUCCCACAGACUCCUAGAGUGGCAGGUGCUGGAAGUAGCGCUCAGUGACCCCCUAGUCAGCCCUCGAGGCAUCCUGGUCUGGCUGAAAAGGCCAGGAGAGCAGUUCAGGCAUGGAAACCCGGGACACUCGCGCAGAAAGCAUUCCUACAUGCGGGACCUCCCUGGGCGAGACCCCAGUGGAAAGAAGUGGUCAUCAAAGAAGGCUGUACUUUUCUCUGAAGGGAGGAGAGAAGUUCCACUCUGCUUGUGGCCUUGUCUGAAUGUUGACAGAGUUUGAGGACUCAAAAGGCUUCCAUAGCCUAGGAAGCUCAUGUAGGAGCCUGGGUGCUUGCUGAUUCCUGCAUUAGAGUGUUAAUUGUUAUAUCAACAGCAGGGGUCACUGUGUGCUAACUUCCCCUGCAGGACCUCUGUCUUCAGAGAGCUACAGCAUUAGCAUUAAUGGUAAAACUCGUUCCCAAAGAUUUCCCUUGUGUAGUGUGUUACACUCUUAGGUGUCAUGGGUUCUAUUUAUGUCUAAGUGCUAAAUGCCAUUGCCUGUAUUCUUAGGCAUUCCUUAAAGUUUAUUAAGUGUCUCCAAUGUGAACUCUUAGACCCAUGUCUCUCUCUCAUAGUCCUGUCUUGUAUGUAUAACAUAGGGUGGAAUACAGAGUACUGAGUGGUUAAAGGCCUCAGGGAUACGGAGAAGACGGCCGUUUCAAUGCAUCUUGCUGUGUUGCUAAACCUUUGCAUAUGGGACAGUUUCUUCUGUAUCCCACUCAACUCAAAAUCUGGGCUAGUGAGGAUCCAGAACUUCAAACAAAGCUCAGGGAUCUAAACUGGAGGUAGAUUCCCCAGCAUGUGUUCUAACUGCACAAAGCUGUGCUCUCUCAGUCAAAGAGGGGAAGCUAUGUUACAUAUGUUUGACCUUCGCAGACUCACAAAACAGCUGAGAAUAUUUCUGGGAAUGGCAAGAUUCUGUAGAGUACGGAUCCCGUGAUGUGGACUCCACGCUUCUGUAGAUGGCUUUAAAAG